rnacentral:piRNA from 1 species
UAAUUUCUAAAAAAUAAUCUA